rnacentral:rRNA from 1 species
GGACGGGUGAGUAACACGUGGGUAACCUACCCAUCAGAGGGGGAUAACACUUGGAAACAGGUGCUAAUACCGCAUAACAGUUUAUGCCGCAUGGCAAUAAGAGUGAAAGGCGCUUUCGGGUGUCGCUGAUGGAUGGACCCGCGGUGCAUUAGCUAGUUGGUGAGGUAACGGCUCACCAAGGCCACGAUGCAUAGCCGACCUGAGAGGGUGAUCGGCCACACUGGGAUUGAGACACGGCCCAGACUCCUACGGGAGGCAGCAGUAGGGAAUCUUCGGCAAUGGACGAAAGUCUGACCGAGCAACGCCGCGUGAGUGAAGAAGGUUUUCGGAUCGUAAAACUCUGUUGUUAGAGAAGAACAAGGACGUUAGUAACUGAACGUCCCCUGACGGUAUCUAACCAGAAAGCCACGGCUAACUACGUGCCAGCAGCCGCGGUAAUACGUAGGUGGCAAGCGUUGUCCGGAUUUAUUGGGCGUAAAGCGAGCGCAGGCGGUUUCUUAAGUCUGAUGUGAAAGCCCCCGGCUCAACCGGGGAGGGUCAUUGGAAACUGGGAGACUUGAGUGCAGAAGAGGAGAGUGGAAUUCCAUGUGUAGCGGUGAAAUGCGUAGAUAUAUGGAGGAACACCAGUGGCGAAGGCGGCUCUCUGGUCUGUAACUGACGCUGAGGCUCGAAAGCGUGGGGAGCAAACAGGAUUAGAUACCCUGGUAGUCCACGCCGUAAACGAUGAGUGCUAAGUGUUGGAGGGUUUCCGCCCUUCAGUGCUGCAGCAAACGCAUUAAGCACUCCGCCUGGGGAGUACGACCGCAAGGUUG